rnacentral:rRNA from 1 species
GACGUAGGGCGCGAGCGUUGUCCGGAUUUAUUGGGCGUAAAGAGCUCGUAGGCGGUUUGUCGCGUCUGCCGUGAAAGUCCGGGGCUCAACUCCGGAUCUGCGGUGGGUACGGGCAGACUAGAGUGAUGUAGGGGAGACUGGAAUUCCUGGUGUAGCGGUGAAAUGCGCAGAUAUCAGGAGGAACACCGAUGGCGAAGGCAGGUCUCUGGGCAUUAACUGACGCUGAGGAGCGAAAGCAUGGGGAGCGAA